UCGGAAAGGCGGAUAGUCGCUCGGUUGGUUCUUUGAACGAACCGGGAGGAAAGUCCGAACUCCACAGGGCAGGAUGCCUCGUAUAACACGGGGGAGCGACGAACGAAAGCUCGACGCGACAGACAGUGCCACAGAAAACAAACCGCCGGGCGGAGUGGAGUAUUGAAGUCGUGGAGUACUGGAGUGAUGGGAACAAAGCGUGUCCCCUCUCCAAUACUCCAGCACUCCAAUACUCCAUUCUGUUCGGUAAGGGUGAAAAGGCGGGGUAAGAGCCCACCGCCCCGAGGGUGAACCGAGGGGGCACGGAAAACCUCAUCUGGAGCAAGACCAAAUAGGAGGCAGGGUGACCCGCCCGAAAUUCCCGAAAGGGAAGCAGCCUCGGGUAUCGGUCGCACAGUCAAAUGACUAUCGCCCGCGCGCGAAAGCACGAGGGUACAGAAUUCGGCUUACAGCCUUUCCGAAAUG
rnacentral:RNase_P_RNA from 1 species